CGUUUUGCCAGCCAAGGUAGGAAUCUUCCACAAUGGGCGCAAGCCUGAUGGAGCAACACCGCGUGAGUGAAGAAGGGUUUCGGCUCGUAAAGCUCUGUUGUUAAAGAAGAACACGUAUGAGAGUAACUGUUCAUACGUUGACGGUAUUUAACCAGAAAGUCACGGCUAACUACGUGCCAGCAGCCGCGGUAAUACGUAGGUGGCAAGCGUUAUCCGGAUUUAUUGGGCGUAAAGAGAGUGCAGGCGGUUUUCUAAGUCUGAUGUGAAAGCCUUCGGCUUAACCGGAGAAGUGCAUCGGAAACUGGAUAACUUGAGUGCAGAAGAGGGUAGUGGAACUCCAUGUGUAGCGGUGGAAUGCGUAGAUAUAUGGAAGAACACCAGUGGCGAAGGCGGCUACCUGGUCUGCAACUGACGCUGAGACUCGAAAGCAUGGGUAGCGAACAGGAUUAGAUACCCUGGUAGUCCAUGCCGUAAACGAUGAGUGCUAGGUGUUGGAGGGUUUCCGCCCUUCAGUGCCGGAGCUAACGCAUUAAGCACUCCGCCUGGGGAGUACGACCGCAAGGUUGAAACUCAAAGGAAUUGACGGGGGCCCGCACAAGCGGUGGAGCAUGUGGUUUAAUUCGAAGCUACGCGAAGAACCUUACCAGGUCUUGACAUCUUGCGCCAACCCUAGAGAUAGGGCGUUUCCUUCCGGGAAAACCGGCCCA
rnacentral:rRNA from 2 species